GAUCAUGGCUCAGGAUGAACGCUAGCGGCAGGCCUAAUACAUGCAAGUCGAACGGUAAAUGUCCCUUCGGGGAUAUGAGAGUGGCGCACGGGUGCGUAACGCGUAUGCAACCUACCCAAUGCUGGAGGAUAGCCCGGAGAAAUUCGGAUUAACCCUUCAUGAGGAGCCUUGGAGGCAUCUUCGAGGUUUCAAAUAUUCAUAGGCGUUGGAUGGGCAUGCGUGCUAUUAGAUAGUUGGCGGGGUAACGGCCCACCAAGUCUACGAUAGCUAGGGGAUCUGAGAGGACGGUCCCCCACACUGGUACUGAGACACGGACCAGACUCCUACGGGAGGCAGCAGUAAGGAAUAUUGGGCAAUGGAGGCAACUCUGACCCAGCCAUGCCGCGUGAAGGAUGGAGGCCCUGCGGGUCGUAAACUUCUUUUGUCAGGGAAUAAAGUCGCCCACGUGUGGGCGUUUGCAGGUACCUGAAGAAUAAGCAUCGGCUAACUCCGUG
rnacentral:rRNA from 1 species